CCUACGGGAGGCAGCAGUGAGGAAUAUUGGUCAAUGGACGAGAGUCUGAACCAGCCAAGUAGCGUGAAGGAUGACUGCCCUAUGGGUUGUAAACUUCUUUUAUAUGGGAAUAAAGUGUUCCACGUGUGGGAUUUUGUAUGUACCAUAUGAAUAAGGAUAGGCUAACUCCGUGCCAGCAGCCGCGGUAAUACGGAGGAUCCGAGCGUUAUCCGGAUUUAUUGGGUUUAAAGGGAGCGUAGGUGGAUUGUUAAGUCAGUUGUGAAAGUUUGCGGCUCAACCGUAAAAUUGCAGUUGAUACUGGCAGUCUUGAGUACAGUAGAGGUGGGCGGAAGUCGUGGUGUAGCGGUGAAAUGCUUAGAUAUCACGAAGAACUCCGAUUGCGAAGGCAGUUCACUGGACUGCAACUGACACUGAGGCUCGAAAGUGUGGGUAUCAAACAGGAUUAGAUACCCCGGUAGUC
rnacentral:rRNA from 1 species